rnacentral:rRNA from 1 species
GGACCUGAGAGGGUGACCCCCCACAAUGGAACUGAAACACGGUCCAUACACCUACGGGUGGCAGCAGUAGGGAAUAUUGCACAAUGGGCGAAAGCCUGAUGCAGCAACGCCGCGUGUGCGAUGAAGGCCUUCGGGUCGUAAAGCACUUUUCUGAGGGAUGAGCAAGGACAGUACCUCAGGAAUAAGUCUCGGCUAACUACGUGCCAGCAGCCGCGGUAAAACGUAGGAGGCAAGCGUUAUCCGGAUUCACUGGGCGUAAAGCGCGUGCAGGUGGUUCGGUAAGUUGGACGUGAAAUCUCCUGGCUUAACUAGGAGAGGUCGUUCAAUACUACCGGACUUGAGAGUGGUAGAGGAAGAUGGAAUUCCCGGUGUAGUGGUGAAAUGCGUAGAUAUCGGGAGGAACACCAGUGGCGAAAGCGAUCUUCUGGACCAUUUCUGACACUCAGACGCGAAAGCUAGGGUAGUAAACGGGAUUAGAGACCCCGGUAAUCCUAGCCGUAAACGAUGUAAACUUGGCGUCGGUGGCUUUAACUCCAUCGGUGCCGCAGCUAACGCGAUAAGUUUACCGCCUGGGGACUACGAUCGCAAGAUUAAAACUCAAAGGAAUUGACGG